GUUAGGGUUAGGGUUAGGGUUAGGGUUAGGGUUAGGGUUAGGGUUAGGGUUAGGGUUAGGGUUAGGGUUAGGGUUAGGGUUAGGGUUAGGGGAGGAGAGUGGAGGGGAGGGGAAUGGAGGGGAGGGGAGGGGAGGGGAAAAGAAGCAUAAAAACAUGAUAAUUCCAAUGGAAACAGAUGUAGCUCUGGCCAACCAUUUUAAGUUCAAGGGUCCGCUUUAUUAGACAGCACAGAAAUAGCAGCCAAAGCAAAGCACCUCAAGUAGCAUAUGUUGCAUACACUUCUUACAAAAGAAACUGUGGUCUUUUUCUCAUUUCUAUUUCUCUCAUCUUGUUUGACUUCAUAGUGUUGGUUGCAAGUGUUUAUUCAAAAGAGAGACCUUCAAGGAAAUAAAUCUGCAAUAAAUCUAGAGUUUCAACAAUAACAUUUCCGUCUCCAGAUGACGACCUUCCAACUUUCUCAAAUAACAGAAAGAUUUAUGUUGGGAAAUUUCUUGGGCUUGAUCAAACAUUGGGUGGAACAUGUAGAGAUUACUUGCUGUAAAGUCAUGCCCAUUGUCAGGAAAAUGAUGAAGAGGAGCUUAUGGAGGUGAAUCCACUGUAGAAUGCUGAUAUGAACAGCCACGACAAACAUCCUGAGAAUGAUGAGGGGACCAGAAGUUACGUCUCUAGACUUGGCCAACAACUCAUGUCUUCCUUCGGAUUCUGGAUAGAAAUGCCACUAAAUAUCGCUUUGCAUGAAGAACUGAUUUUCGUCUUGCAUUUUUUUAUGAAAUAGAGUCACAUUUGUGAUUAGCCCUCUGCAGAGAACAAGAUAAGGUGAAAUUUCACCAUGGCACUUCUGAGUGGCUCAGUUCUUCUGAACAGGGAUUCAAAAUGAAGCACUUUUUGGAAUGCUUCUGAUGAAGAAGAUCAAAAUGAUCCUGAUGCUUGCUCAGUGGAGGUCUCUACAUAAUUCAGUUUUGAAUUGAAAUACUAUAAGGAUAAUAUUACUUACUAAGGCACUGUGCACUGUGGGUCUGUGGUUUACCAAGGGUUUAUGGGCUGAUAUCAGCGAAUCUUUGGACCAGAGCUUUUACUGUAAUGCUUCCUGGCAAUAUUCCGUGCCCAUAUCCAGUUGCUUCUGGAUCUCUUGGCACAGAGCUGUGAAAUAUUAUAGAUAAUCCAUUAUUCCCACUGUGGGAAUUUAUUCUAACACCGUAUGAGCUCCUGUUUCUGACCAGAAAAGAUAAUACAGAAUAACAUAAUACAAAAAAAUACAAUAAAUACUGGUGACCUUGUAAAUAGAAAUGCCCA
rnacentral:lncRNA from 1 species